rnacentral:tRNA from 1 species
GCUUACAUAGUUUAGGUUAGAAUGUGAGGCUGUUAACUUUGAGGUACUCUUAGAGGGUUGUAAGCG